rnacentral:tRNA from 1 species
GCGGGGAUGCCGGAGUGGCCAAACGGGCUAGGCUAAGGACCUAGUGGCUUAGGUCUACGCAGGUUCGAAUCCUGUUCCCCGCA